CAGUCGCCACGGUAAUACGAAGGGUGCAAGCGUUACUCGGAAUUACUGGGCGUAAAGCGUGUGUAGGUGGUUGUUUAAGUCUGUCGUGAAAGCCCUGGGCUCAACCUGGGAAUUGCGAUGGAUACUGGGCGACUAGAGUGCGGUAGAGGAUGGUGGAAUUCCCGGUGUAGCGGUGAAGUGCGUAGAGAUCGGGAGGAACAUCAGUGGCGAAGGCGGCCAUCUGGGACAACACUGACGCUGAGGCACGAAAGCGUGGGGAGCAAACAGGAUUAGAUACCCCAGUAGUCCCUGUCUCUUAUAA
rnacentral:rRNA from 1 species